AAAGUCCCCUUCGGGGGAUAAGUAGAGUGGCGCACGGGUGAGUAACACGUAGGUAAUCUACCUUCGGGUGGGGAAUAACCCAGGGAAACUUGGGCUAACACCGCAUAAUGCAGCGGCACCACAUGGUGACAGUUGUUAAAGCGGGGGAUUUUCGGACCUCGCGCCUGAAGAGGAGCCUGCGGCAGAUUAGCUAGUUGGUAAGGUAACGGCUUACCAAGGCGACGAUCUGUAGCCGGCCUGAGAGGGCGGUCGGCCACACUGACACUGACAUACGGGUCAGACUCCUACGGGAGGCAGCAGUCGGGAAUUUUGGGCAAUGGGCGAAAGCCUGACCCAGCAACGCCGCGUGAAGGAUGAAAUCCCUCGGGAUGUAAACUUCGCAAGAAUGGGAAGAAUUAGUAGGGGUUAAUACCCCCUAUGAUGACGGUACCAUUUGUAAGCUCCGGCUAACUCCGUGCCAGCAGCCGCGGUAAUACGGGGGGAGCAAGCGUUGUUCGGAUUUACUGGGCGUAAAGGGCGCGUAGGCGGCCAGCACAAGUCGGUUGUGAAAUCUCCGGGCUUAACUCGGAAAGGUCAACCGAUACUGUGCGGCUAGAGUGCGGAAGGGGCAACUGGAAUUCUCGGUGUAGCGGUGAAAUGCGUAGAUAUCGAGAGGAACACCUGCGGCGAAGGCGGGUUGCUGGGCCGACACUGACGCUGAUGCGCGAAAGCCAGGGGAGCGAACGGGAUUAGAUACCCCGGUAGUCCUGGCCUUAAACGAUGGAUGCUUGGUGUCUGGAGUUUUAUAGUCUCCGGGUGCCGUAGCUAACGCGUUAAGCAUCCCGCCUGGGGAGUACGGUCGCAAGACUG
rnacentral:rRNA from 1 species